rnacentral:rRNA from 1 species
UGGGGAAUCUUGCGCAAUGGGCGAAAGCCUGACGCAGCAACGCCGCGUGAGCGAAGAAGGCCUUCGGGUUGUAAAGCUCUGUCAGGGGGAAAGAAGGCACCUGGGUUAAUAGCCCAAGGGCUGACGGUACCCCCAGAGGAAGCCACGGCUAACUACGUGCCAGCAGCCGCGGUAAUACGUAGGUGGCGAGCGUUGUCCGGAAUCAUUGGGCGUAAAGAGCGCGUAGGUGGCUUGUCAGGUCCGAUGUGAAAACCUGGGGCUCAACUCCAGGCCUGCAUCGGAAACCGGCUUGCUAGAGUCUGGGAGAGGAGAGUGGAAUUCCUGGUGUAGCGGUGAAAUGCGUAGAUAUCAGGAGGAACACCGGUAGCGAAGGCGGCUCUCUGGAACAGUACUGACGCUGAGGCGCGAAAGCUAGGGGAGCGAACAG